GCUCAGCUGAUCUGUGGCUUAGGUAGUUUCAUGUUGUUGGGAUUGAGUUUUGAACUCGGCAACAAGAAACUGCCUGAGUUACAUCAGUCGGU
rnacentral:pre_miRNA from 10 species